UACGUAGGGUGCAAGCGUUAAUCGGAAUUACUGGGCGUAAAGCGUGCGCAGGCGGUGAUGUAAGACAGUUGUGAAAUCCCCGGGCUCAACCUGGGAACUGCAUCUGUGACUGCAUUGCUGGAGUGCGGCAGAGGGGGGAUGGAAUUCCGCGUGUAGCAGUGAAAUGCGUAGAUAUGCGGAGGAACACCGAUGGCGAAGGCAAUCCCCUGGGCCUGCACUGACGCUCAUGCACGAAAGCGUGGGGAGCAAACAGG
rnacentral:rRNA from 1 species